rnacentral:rRNA from 1 species
UUUUAUGGAGAGUUUGAUCCUGGCUCAGGACGAACGCUGGCGGCGUGCCUAAUACAUGCAAGUCGAGCGAAUGGAUGGGAGCUUGCUCCCUGAAAUUAGCGGCGGACGGGUG